UUAAUUUAAUAACUAAUAAUUGAGGGUAGUUGAAAUAAUCAGGUGUCACUCGCAUAACCACUCGCGGAGCCACCUGUGCAUGUGAAGUCACAACAAUGUUAGUAUAAAAAGAGGCGAGAGUAGAGAUUACAGGGUACAUUGGGCCUCCCACCUCUCCCGGUGACGCUGUAACAGCCAUAAGGGCUAACGGGAACAGACAAAACGAAAAAAAAAGAUUACAGGGAGUCUCUUACCUUAUAUACCUCACAGCUCGAUGACAGUCAAGAAUAAAGUCAUUGAUGACGUCAGUUAUGCUGACGUCACUCUUUUCAGAAACGACAAAGUGCUCCUACUCCGACAUGUAUAAGUCGUAAUGGAAUUCUUGUACCAAGUAAAGGACACACAGGAUAUACAUCUUACGAACAGGUCAGCUGCAAGUAUAAAGUCUACAUUUCGUUAUAUUUUAUUUUCGUAAGUUAUAUUCACGCAUUCAAAUCCCUCAUCUGUGCCUUACUUUCAGUCGCUCCUAUUAAGACUAGACGUAGUGCAGUCAUCGAUCACCAAGACGUAGUGAAGCCUUGACGGUUCACGGAUAACCGCCGUCUUCAUCCUUCAGUAUAAUCUCAGACAGACAGCUCUGGAAGGACACUAGAAUUAAACUCAAAGCUGAAGCGAAAAUAUGUCAGUUAAGGCGGGAGCAAUUUACAACAUUGAACACACGAAGCACAUUUAACAGAAAUAAAAUACUAUUCCGAUGUGACGUUCGUUCUGAUAAAAGCAAUUGUACUGACAUCAGUUACUGUAGC